rnacentral:rRNA from 1 species
CUACGGGCGGCAGCAGUGGGGAAUAUUGCACAGUGGGCGCAAGCCUGAUGCAGCCACGCCGCGUGUAUGAAGAAGGCCUUCGGGUUGUAAAGUACUUUCAGCGGGGAGGAAGGGAGUAAAGUUAAUACCUUUGCUCAUUGACGUUACCCGCAGAAGAAGCACCGGCUAACUCCGUGCCAGCAGCCGCGGUAAUACGGAGGGUGCAAGCGUUAAUCGGAAUUACUGGGCGUAAAGCGCACGCAGGCGGUUUGUUAAGUCGGAUGUGAAAUCCCCGGGCUCAACCUGGGAACUGCAUCUGAUACUGGCAAGCUUGAGUCUCGUAGAGGGGGGUAGAAUUCCAGGUGUAGCGGUGAAAUGCGUAGAGAUCUGGAGGAAUACCGGUGGCGAAGGCGGCCCCCUGGACGAAGACUGACGCUCAGGUGCGAAAGCGUGGGGAGCAAACAGGAUUAGAUACCCGUGUAGUC